UUGGAGGGCAAGUCUGGUGCCAGCAGCCGCGGUAAUUCCAGCUCCAAUAGCGUAUAUUAAAGUUGUUGCAGUUAAAAAGCUCGUAGUUGAAUUUCGGGGUCAGUAGAUUGGUCAUGCCACUGGUAUGUACUGGUCUCACUGAUUCCUCCUUCCUGAUGAGACGUAAUGCCAUUAAUUUGGUGUUGCGAGGAAUCUGGACUGUUACUUUGAAAAAAUUAGAGUGUUUAAAGCAGGCUAACGCUUGAAUACAUUAGCAUGGAAUAAUGAAAUAGGACGUUCGAUCUCAUUUUGUUGGUUUCUAAGAUUGACGUAAUGAUUAAUAGGGAUAGUUGGGGGCAUUAGUAUUCAAUUGUCAGAGGUGAAGUUCUUGGAUUUAUUGAAGACUAACUACUGCGAAAGCAUUUGCCAAGGAUGUUUUCAUUAAUCAAGAACGAAAGUUAGGGAAUCGAAGACAAUCAGAUACCGUCGUAGUCUUAACCAUAAACUAUGCCGACUAGGGAUCGGAUGAUGUUAAUUUUUUAAUGACUCAUUCGGCACCUUACGGGAAAC
rnacentral:rRNA from 1 species